GGGGAAUAUUGCGCAAUGGGGGAAACCCUGACGCAGCAACGCCGCGUGGGUGAUGAAGGCUUUCGGGUCGUAAAGCCCUGUCAGCGGGGAAGAAACUCCGGGAUUCGAAUAGGGUCUCGGAUUUACGGUACCCGCGGAAGAAGCACCGGCUAACUACGUUCCAGCAGCCGCGGUAAUACGUAGGGUGCGAGCGUUAAUCGGAAUUACUGGGCGUAAAGCGUGCGCAGGCGGUUUGCUAAGACAGGUGUGAAAUCCCCGGGCUUAACCUGGGAACUGCGCUUGUGACUGGCAGGCUAGAGUACGGCAGAGGGGGGUGGAAUUCCACGUGUAGCAGUGAAAUGCGUAGAUAUGUGGAGGAACACCGAUGGCGAAGGCAGCCCCCUGGGCCUGUACUGACGCUCAUGCACGAAAGCGUGGGGAGCAA
rnacentral:rRNA from 1 species